UACGGAGGGUGCAAGCGUUGUUCGGAAUUACUGGGCGUAAAGCGCGUGUAGGCGGCCCUGCAAGUCGGGUGUGAAAGCCCGGGGCUUACCCCCGGAAGGGCACUGGAUACUGGGAGACUAGAGUACCGGAGAGGAAGGUGGAAUUCCUGGUGUAGCGGUGAAAUGCGUAGAUAUCAGGAGGAACACCGGUGGCGAAGGCGCUCAUCUGGCCCAAUACUGACGCUGAGGCGCGAAAGCUAGGGGAGCAAACGGG
rnacentral:rRNA from 1 species